UAUGGGAAGCUAUCAUUACAUGUGUGUAACUUUACAUCCACUUUUAUUUAGCCCUUCACUCCUUUUUAAAGUAUAAACUGCUACGCAAAAGUACUGGUUUGCAGGCAGUAAUGACACAGGAGUCGACGAGUAAAUAACAAGAUGGAAGCAUUAGUGGGCUUUUUAACAGCAGAAAUGGACCGGUUCCCAAGCGAACAACUCAUGCUAGAAGGUGUGGGCCCUUAGGAGUGUCGCUUCCAGCCACACAGCAAACUACCCCAUCCCCGACAAACAACAAGUGAACCAGAGAUCUCCCCCUGUCCCAAUGCACUAGACACUUACAACUCCAACACUGGACAAAGCACUCCAC